CUUUUAGGGCUUUUAGAGCCAGACUGGUAUCUUCAAAUAGUGCUGAUCUCUAAUUUUAUCCCAUACUAACAAUAAAGCAUUUCUUAUAUAAUGUCUUUGAAAGUAACCAUGUAUCUUACUUUUCCCAUACCAUAAGAAGACAUGCCAUCCCAGUUGCAGAUCAUGUCCCGCAAGGUCAAUAGUCUUGUGUUUCUCAGCUCAAUCCACUUUUCCAUCCAUGUUAACACCGCAGCCUGAUAAUAUAAUUCCCAGUUUGGUAGACCAAAAUCACCUC